AAAAAACAGAAAAUUAAACCCAGCCGCUUGGCUGUUGGGUUCUAGAGGCUAGUGGAUUGGGAAUAUGAAAACAAUUCAUUACUAUACACCAUUAAAUAAAAAGCAGGAAUACUGAACGUAUUAACUAAUUUUUUUGGUUUAAAGUAUUUGUUUCUUUUAAAUAAAAAGGAAAGAAAGUGUGAGGUACUGUAAGGAAGAAACCAUUAUCGCCUCCACUCGCGUUCUCUUCUCAAU
rnacentral:lncRNA from 1 species